GUAGUGGUGGUUCAUUGGUAGAACUCUGACCUUCCAUGCAGGAGACCAGGGUUCAAUUCCCAGACAGUGCA
rnacentral:tRNA from 1 species